GUAUUAUAUAUGCUCAACUAUGACCAGCCUUUCUGUGUUCAGGGAUGUACCCAUAGCCCAGAAGCUAGAAGGCAGCUUACUAAAGAUCUAUAGGCAAGACGACUCUUCUGUCAAGAUGUUCCUGGCCUACAAAGUCUGCAUGACCGAAGGAGGCCAUCCCUGGGUUUCUCUUGUGGUGCGCAAGACCCGCCUGCAGAUUGCAGAAGAUCCCUCUCUGAACUAUGAGUACUUGCCCCUCGCGGGCCUGAAAUCCUUCAUCCAAGCCUCUCUGGAACUUCUCUUUGGAAAGCACAGCCAAGCCAUUGUGGAGAAAAGGGUAGGGGGCGUUCACAUCGUUGGUGAGAGUGGAGCCUUCCAGCUUGGGGCUCAGUUCCUCAAGAUAUGGCGAAAGAACUUGAAAACCGUUUGUAUCAUCUCAUGUCAAAACGAACAGUGUGGACUCAUCUUCCGGGACAUGGGCUUUACAGUUUAUGAGUACUCGGUCUGGAACUCCACUGAUCUGUGCUCAGACCCCAGCAUAUUCGUCGAAGUUCUACAGCAUAUCCCGGCUGGCAGCAUCCUUGUGAUUGGGAACAUCUCUGACUGCCGGUUCACACAGAAUCAGUGGACAAAGUUGAUGUCCAUCAUUAAGAGCAAGCAGAUAUUCCCAUUCUUUGACAUUCCCUGCCAAGGUUUAUCCACUGGGGACCUUGAAGAAGAUAGCAAAUUCUUACAGCACUUUGUGUCUCUAGGCUUCGAAUUCUUUUGCAGCCAAUCUCUGUCCAAGAAUUUUGGCAUUUAUGAUGAAGGAGUAGGGAUCCUAGUCGUGGCAGCCCUCAGCAACCAGCACCUGCUGUGUGUCAUCUCCCAGCUGAUGGAUUAUGUCCAGGCCCUGUGGGGAAACCCUCCUGCCACGGGUGCUCGAAUAAUCACCUCCAUCCUCUGUAACCCUGCUCUGUUUGGAGAAUGGAAGCAGAGUCUAAAAGGUGUUGUGGAGAACAUCAUGCUGAUCAAGGAGAAGGUGAAGGAGAAACUCCGACUCCUGGGGACCCCUGGGUCGUGGAAUCACAUCACCCGACAGAGCGGAACCCAUGGUUAUCUGGGACUCAACUGCAUCCUCAGAGGCCUGUUUCCCAAGUGAUUGUAGAUCUCGCCAAGUUGACAUUUGAGAUUAACCACCACACCCUGUCUCAAAAAUUAUAAAGAAUAACCGUAAUGGACACCUAUUUGGCGAUGAGCUGCAUCCUACCCAUCAGGCUUACAGAAUUUGAACAUGCUGGAAUGGGAAUGGACUCCACGACAUUCCAUAGAACCAAGAAACCUGUGCAGAACAACUGGCCCGCCACCUGAACUUAAGGAACAGUCAUACCCAGUGGUUACAGGAAUGUCAAAUCCAUGGCCCGCGCAGGAGGCUGGCAUCCUGAUCAUCUCACCUCAGCCUCUAAAGCCCUCGGACUGCAGAGAACCUUAACUAAUGCAGGCAGUGUGGUCAGACUCUUAAGUUCCUGCUCUUCACUCAAUACAAUCCUUCUAGGAGGCAGUUUGAAAAGGAAGCACCAAUACCAAGGAAAUAAACCCUGCAUGAAGAAAGUCAGCCGGCAAUCGGCCACAGCUUAAACCCAGCCCCUCAGGCAGUGGAGAAGCUGGGGGAGCAGGAAGUUCUGAGCUUCCAGAAGCUUCACAGUUUCAGUAACUCCCCAUUAGGAAGCACCGGCAGCAACGUGGGCCUGGCUGAGGAAUCUGGCAGUGGGAAGGUAGCCCUGAAGUGUUUCUAGGAUUAUCAGGAAAAGCACUCCAAAGAAUGGCUGCACAGUUUUAUGUGCAUAUCACCAAGAUGAAUGGAAAAUAAGAAAUAAAAGAAAAGGGUCUGACUGCUCCUA